AUGAAGAAUGUCAGGGACAACAGGGGCAGAGCAGGACUGCCAUGGCCACCUGUGUUCAGGACAGCACCUGAGAGGUUCUUGGCACCUGUUGAUGGAGAAGCAACAGAACCUCAGGAGGGCACCAAUUUUACUGGAGGACAGAAGCAAACACUACCCUCAAUGAUGAGGUCAUCACAACUUCAGAGCAAUUCCAGACUUCAAGGAAACAUGUUCAGGCAAACAGAGUACUCUCUCUAGGCCAAACAGGUUUUUGUGGUGUGCUGUGUUGUGUUCGGUGGCCACAGUGCAGUCAGGAAGAUGGUCAUCAGGACGACUUGGUUGAGAGACUAGACAUUCUGGAUCAGCUGACAUUGAGUAUGAGGCAGGAAGGAGGGCUAUCUCUUGCUGUUCUACAUUUGACAAAUAUGACCCAGAUCACAGAGCUGCAGCCAUCUCCUCUUAUCUCACAGAGCUUGUGAGGUGGUCCAUUUGUUCGGAAUUUCUUAUCUCACAAGUGAAGCUGCACUAAGGAGCUUCAAUAGUCAAAUAGUCAGUGAUCAUAAGAAGCCAAAGGAUCAAAGUGUGAAGAGUUUAAGCCCCAAACAGCAUCCUCUAAGGUUCUGGUGGAAGCACAGCCAGUGCCAUCAGUAGGAUAUUCUCUUGUAAGCUCUGACAUCUUUCCCAGUUUCCAUAGUGUUGGGGUACCAGACUCUAGUCAAGUAUCUCACCUAAGGAGACACUGUGCUGUCUGUGUCAGGAACCUCAGUUUCUAGCUGAUUCUGCAUGUUGGCAGUAAGCCUCAUCUGGGCUUACAGUCAAUAAAAAAUCAAGUUCACUCGAGUCA
rnacentral:lncRNA from 1 species